CCUAAAAAGAACAAUGGUGGCACACAUCUGUGAUUGAGGCUCCCAGGGUUCCCUCAGCACUCUCCUCAUUUUAAAGCUACACACAAACUAGUGAAACAAAAAUCCAUCCACGUACAUCACACCAGCCCAGUCAUUCUCGCAAGGCUCAACUGCUGACAUUUGGUACAAGCAGUUUACAGCUCCUAGACACAAGAACCACCUGCUGUCAGUUUCACAGCAAGUCAAACCUGGAAUCUGACUCUCCUGAACACAUUCAGCCAAUGGUGCACAUUCAGGAUUCUCCUUUGGUUUCAUCUCUGGAUAAAAGAGACACUCCCCAGUCAGUGCUGUGAGCAGCACUCACUCCUGAUGCACAACUUGUACUUUCAGGAGAGCUCUCUCCUGUACGGCAACAAACCCCACUGCAUCUUGUUCACACAAUGCGAUCACUGCCUGCUCCGCUACGUUUUCAGGCCCAUCACCGUCAGAAAACCUGUUUCUAACACAAAAAAAAAGGCAUCUCCUGCUUCCAGAUAGAGGAGGAGUGGCUAUAACCUAACUAUAAACCUCAACAACAGGUCAAGAAGAGCUGCUAAGAAUUAAUGUUUGGAAACAAACAGCUGAACAUGCUUUUCUCCAGUGUCCUCAGGAUUCUGUACAACAAACUGUACAAUGCUGCUCCAAAUGCCUUUUUCUUUAAGGCCCCAGAAAGUGCAACAUUUCUCCAUGUACUCUGCCAUCUCUGCACUCGAAACCCUGAACCCUUACUGGGCUGUGACAUUCAGGUGACUGUUCUGUAUUUCAGUCAGAUUCUUCAGCCGGCAGGAACAAAGCACGUCUGUACCGCCCAAAGCAAUAACUCCAGCCCUGCUAUCCUCACUGCCACAGCUCCUUUCAGCUGCCUUUACUUCUCCUCCUGAAGUCACGUUUAGGGAAACAGCUCAGAAUUAACAUCCCUUACUAAAAGAAGCACCCUAGAAUUCAUGAGCUGCAUUUUAUGUUGGCUGUUUGCAGUUUCAUUCUACUGUAUGUAAAGAAAACCACCACCUGCUAACAGGCUUUUUUUAAUGAUCAGGAAACACAGAGCAGGAAGCUUUACCACAAAGACCAGCACACUGAAAGCUAAGGAAGAAGCAGCAGCAGAACUUCAGAGAUGCUGCCCUGGUAUGGACAGACCCUUUAUUUGUAUUUAUGAGGUAGCGGCAACUUCAUUUAAUGCUUUAACAGCCCUACAGCUCCAAAUGCGUAGGGUUCAGCUGACAGCACUCCUGCUCCUGAAGGCUCCAUGUAUCAGCACAGAAGUGACCAGCACCCCAUUACCACAUCUUCAUCUGCAUCCAACUGCCUGUCUCACGUCUGCUUAGAUACCCAGCACCACAAAGGGCAGCCUCAGCACACAACGGGAACACCUGCCUGUCACCCCUGACAGCACAGCCAGGUACACCACUGGGUUUCUGGCUCAAAGUUAUAACACUCAGCAGCGUUUUUGUACCUCUGGCACUGAAGGCAAAACUCCACUAAGGCUUUUCCAAAUACCAUUUACAGCUCUGAGACUCACUGUCACAUUCUGACGUAUCCCAGCAGUUUUACCACAAACAUUAUGGAUGGCACUGAGAACACAAACCAAUCACUGCUUCUCCUGGAGGCCCACAAACCAGGACACCGAAUUGUAUCCUGCCCUGCUGAGACCCACCAAUACCUCACUACCACUCUUAGUUGGUUUCUUCCAGUCCUGCUCUCACUCUACACUGUGUAUUCUGCACUCCAGUUCAAACAUAGCCCUACUGAUGGGGAGGUUUUGCUUCUGAGGAUUCCAUUCUCAUACAGAAAAAACGUGCUCAUGUAUUUUACGUGCAAGCACAUCCACCACUUCAGCCUUCCAGAUUUGUUUUCUGUAGCACACAGCUGCAGAUGGAACUGGAGAAGGCUCUGGUGAGAUCCUCAAUGCAGCAGCACUAUGGAAGCAGGGCUGUGCUGAAUACAUGCGCCUGCAGGCAAAGCCCUGAACUGCCCCAAAGCUCCAGAGGGUUCAGAUGCCUUUUUCUACAAGUAAUUUAAGUAGAAUGCACUGCAGGCCAGAAAAAUAGAGCCGCUCAUUGUGCUUUAACUGUAUCUACUGUACAGAACACUUAUUUCUUGCCUGCAAACAGCAUGGACCUAUUUGCCCAGGUGCCAAGCUUGAUAACUGGUUGCAUCACUUUUUCUAGUGAAAUAACUAAUUAAGAAUACAGCCUCUUAAGUAUUUCUUCCUAGAAAUUUAUUAUCACUUCCCAUCUUUCUUCUAUAGGAGAGUCAGGGCACAACUGGGAACCUUCCACUGCUGUCAAAGAAUAAUGGUGAACAGCAGUAACGAGACUCAGUGUCACUUUAAUUCUGUCCUCAUCUGUCCGCUAAAAGCAGGAAAACAAAGCAGCAGGCAACAGGAGAGCCCACAGCCUCCCUGUACACUUCAAUUACCAGCCACACUUCUGCUCACUCAGGAAAGCACUGCUGUACAGUUACAUGAUCCUGGGACUGUUGGACUCCCUCAGUACUUUAAAAGAAAUCAGUAGGGAAACAGCAAACUGAACACCAGGGACUGCUGAAAUUCAGAGCUUCGAAAAGGAGCUACAACGUAACAUCUGAUAUUUACAGAUGACAUGUUAGGGACUGAAAUUAUUACUUCAGGAGCCAUAGACAGGAACACAGCAUUUCCAGCCUUCUCACACAGCAUGUUGGGGCCACAAUAUUAAGAUUUAGGGCAUCUUUAGGCUGCUUAAUAGUACAGAAUUGAUCAAGAUAGGGAACAACAGAACAGCUCCAUGACCUACACAGAAUCCAACCUAAACUUAACCAGCAACACAGGUAAGAAUAUCAUCAUAUCCUGAAACCUGAACUGUCACAGCAACAACCACCCACUGUCCAACACACCUGGAGUCACACACAAGGGGAGUUGCCCAACUCCUUCCCUAACCUCCAAUUCUGGGAGCCUUUCAGGCACAACCCUGAAGAAAAAGAGAAGAAAUCCUACAGUUCCUGAACCUAACGGACAGAAUAAAUGACUGCUUACAGAUUUAAGGUCUCCCAAUCAACAGUGCAGUAACUCCAGUCCUUACAGCACGCUACUCCACCAGCUCACUAGCAGCAUCUUGUUCCUCUCAUCAUUUAAGCUACCAAGAUGCAGACUACCUUCCUGAUAUGUAAUUACGGAUCCAUUUCUUUCUCAAAUUAAGCCACUGAACAGUAUCUGGGGACUGCAUGAUAUCAUAACAUCUCUUCUGCCCGCAGUGGGAUGCUGGUACUCAUGGAGCACUGUCUUCAGAGAACAGACAGUUUCGUACUGCAGCACACACCUUCACAGUGCUGUCUAGUUUUACAACAGCACUCCGUGUACAUCAGCCUCAGAAAACCACAGUGUGUGUUUCAUUACUCUGAAACAGAAAGUGCUUCCCAGAAGUGGCUGAAGGCACUUAGAAUCGCUCACUGCAGCAUCUGUGUGAGGAUGAAAUCCCAGACAACUGCCUUGGCUUUAGAACAGCCACAGCCCCACACCUGACCACCCCUGCAGUGUUACUGCGAGGCACCCUGCUUGCUGUUACUCUGCUUCCCUGCCUGUUGCAGGAGAACACAUUGAGGAAAACUGACUGUAAGAAUCAGCUUCCUAAGGACCAGAAAAUGUACCCUGGAGAGCAGAAAACGUGCAAGUACUCCUAGUCCCUCUAACAGCAUUCCUCCUCUUUAACCUGAAUAGAAGAUGCUUUGAUUAAACCAUUCAGGAAAUGGUUCAAGCUCACCAAGUACCUGAAGAACCAGAUAUUCACAGCCAUUAAAAAUAGCAGCUGCUUCAUAACAUCAACUUAAGCACCCGAUCUCACAAGAAGUGAGAUUUCUGUAGGAAAACAGAAGCAUUCGGAUCAUACUGGGGGGAAACUCCUCUCUAUCCCUCCUUGAAGAGAAUUCUCUGACCCUUCAGGUUGAGGUGAUGGCCAUUAGAAAGGCAGCUGAUCCGGUGAAAAGAUGAAAGACCACACAAGUGAGGCUUCCGAAUGAUUAAGUCCAUAACUACUGCACUACUGAACUGUGUGAGAAGGAGGACAACUGGAUCUCCUGUUAUUUUCCUAAGAGCAAUACACAGGAGCAGCACAUCUCUGCUGUACAAGAGAACAGUGAGCUGUUACUAACACCAAAGUGCAUGCAAAGGAAGCGUAACACGCAAUACUAAGUAAUCCAGAACAUCACAUUUUCAGAACAUUUUUGUCUUAUGAGAGAUGUUACCUGGCUUGUACUGCCUGGUUUAACAUGUUCUACCAUGGUCUCACUAGUGAAUUCAGAAGGUGGGAGAGACUAAGAACCAUCAGAGUGAUUUAAUGUUUGAUGCACCAGGCCCAAAGACGUUUCCCUUUCUAAAAAGAUCAAUUCACUCUAACAAGGCAUUAUUAAGACACUAUGAGAACAUGGAUUAUUAAGUCUCUGAUUACUCCUAACACAGCCUUAUAGCUCAGCCCGACAGAGCUCCACCUGAAGUUCCUACUGUCAGAACUCCACAAUUUUAGAGCUACAAGUUAUAUAUCCGACAUCUAGUUUAUACGUGUACUCCCUGCCGAAGGGGAGGAAAACAAUCAGAAAAUGACUACCAAAGGUUUUUACUGCUCACCAUUAAAUGAAAGUCAGAAGUGCUUUCUAUGCACUGAUACAUGGCUGCCCAUCAUCCUAAAUACACAUCUCUCGAGGAACAGCAUGGGCUAAUUAAGGCAGACACAGUCUACUCCAGUCAAUACUCACUUGGUAUGUGAGAGUGUAGCUCACCAUCCCCCCAGGCCCUUCAGUGUGCACAGCCCAACCUGCUUGAUUUUGCACAUCUUAACUGGCUUCUGAAAAGCAUCAAAGCACACUGGGAUAAACACUAUUCCUAAGAAAUACCCAUGUACAAAGUUAUCCAACACCAACACACACUUUGUCACAAAUAAUCUGCAUCAGGAAACGCAAAGGAAGCUAUUCUGGAUUCCUUAAUGAUACACUGUAAGUCUGUAGGUUUGCAUGUAAAGCAGCAUCUCUAAUACCAGAGAUAACUAAGAAUGUUCAGAAAGGCUUCUGCCAAAACACUCAGGCUUCCUCUCAAAGGAAGUACCACGAAUACAGCACAGACUAAGCAGACUCACAGACCUCCCCGAAGAGACCCGAUUUCUCCAUGAGAAGAAGGCACAAAGAACAGAACGCACCACUGAAGCCCGGCCUCACUGCAGAGCCUUCCAUCUAUGCUAGUAACAGAUGUCUGUAGUCUGCCCACUGAACACAAGGCUGGGAUAGAACCAACUACACCACAUGGUUAUAAGGGUCUUAAACUAGGGAUUACUAGGUGAGACUUUCAAACAGUCAAAGCAGUUGUUAAUAACAAGCCUGCAAGAGGAAGCUACAGAACUCAACGCAGUGUGAGGAUAACCACCUGCUGCCACUUGCCUGGCUAACCCGAUCAAUCAACACAAUGCAAAAUGAACUUCUGGCACACACAUAAUCCAAGUGAACAUUCCUGCCCUUACUGCAAACUCCAAAUUAUUAAGACGUGGCUCUUGCAUAUCUUGAAGAUCACAAUCUGACGCACAGACUCAUCAAUACUGUCUCCUUGAGUAUUUCUGUUCAUUUUAUUCAGAGUGAACAGUUCUCCCCACUGAAGAACAGUCAGUCCUCCAUCAGAAUCCCAUUUUUAUCCUCUUGCCAGCUUUUUGCUGGUGCUCUGGGUAAUAUAUGCCUGAAAAUCCUCCCAUCAGCUUUUCUUGUUAGAAGGUAAGAAAGCUUCUUUCCUAGUUCUUCAACGAGAUGAAAAAGGACCACCCCUCUUCAAAGGUGAUGCUACUGUUCUUGGCUACUUGAUCCUGCUGCUGAAGUCUAACCCUUCACAUAAGGCAAGCGUGGUACAAGCCAUGCUUCUAUGGAACUUGUAAGAGAUUUAAGACAUCCCUGUCUCAGUUGACACAGAAAAUCUGGCAGUAACAACUCCAUCUUCCAUACUUUAUUUUUUUUAAAUGCUGAGCAGUUUGACCCCCAGUAUCAGAACAGCUCUUGCUUCUUCGGGAUCAAAAAUCAUCACGAAUCACCUCCUGGCUCUUUGAGGAAACCUCUCUCCAGGUCUUCAGGACAAAAACCAAAGCCUCCUGUAGCCAGAGAAGAACGGCAUGUCACAGCACAGCUCUUAGGACUUGAGACACUAUCUCACCUUCUUGCCUGUGCUGCUCACGUGUGACAGACUUGCCCAUAAAUGGCCACAGAAGACGCUGUUUGACAUGAGCAGCAUUUCUUUCUGGACUGCUCCAGGUGGAACAUGGCCCAAUUUCUGUAAGCUUCUUUCAUAUGGAACUGGAUAAAGCCCAUCACAUGAUGGGGCAGUGCAACACGGCCAGCUCUGCUAAUCACUAUGGAAUCUCAAGAUGAACUUAACCCCAAAGAUAAGCAAUUUGGCAGGACUACAACUCAGAGCAGCAGUGAAGAAAUAAAAGGCUUUUUAAAGCUUGAGAUUCUUCCACCGUCAUUUUCUGGCUGGAAGCCCUGCUGACCUAAACCCAGAAAGCAGAGAGAACUGAAAAUGAAAACAAAAUUAAAGAAAAUAAAAGAAUCCACACCUACAAUAAACUCCAUGCUUUCAAAACUGCUACACACGAGGAACAGGAACACCCUGUGAGGUUGUGUUUGGGAGCAGCACCAAGACAUUCAGAACAGACGUUAGGUGCUCUAUGGGCUCCAUGCUCACAAUGAGACACAAACACAACUGUAAUCUGCACAGAUGAGGCACCUCAAAGCUUUGAAGAACCACAAAGAAGAACAGAAUGGCACCAAGGUGAACUGCUGUAGGCUGGUUUCCAACAACUUAUCCUAGAUAACCAGCAUUACACCACACAGAACAGAAGAUACGUAGGUAUAGGAAUGCAAUUAAGAUGAGUAAUUCCAAGAAUACAUUUUACCUCAUCACCCUGCUGACAGGUGACUAUACAGAGAAUAGGGGAACUUGUCUGUAGUAUUCAGAUAAACGCUCACUAUUGAAAUAAUGCAAAUGAGCUUUAGAUUUUCCUCAAGUAUCUCACUCCUCUACUGAACACCUAAUAAAUACAAAUGAAUCUAAACUCCAGAGUUUUAAAGCUCCCAGUAUUUACUUCUUUUACACCGAUAAACCAUCUCUAUAGAAAUCCAUGCACAAAUGAACACAACGUGCCAGGCACUUCUACAUGCUUCAAUACAAAGUCACGUAAUUGAACUCUGCACAGAACUGAUAACCAUAAUUAAUUUCACUUCCAUCCAUUUAGGAGGUAUUCCAUCUUUUUAAGGAAACCAUCCUUAAAGUAACUUUUCGAUGUAUGCAUACACACAAGAUGAAAGCACUGAACUCCAUCUGCUCAUUUUUGUUAAGUCUCAUUUCCAGUUUUGAUGUAUUGCUGCCUUUCACCAUUUCAGAGAACAUUUCUAGAGAAUAAACUACCAUCCACUGCAGUUUUGUUUGCAUUUCAGUGAAGCUCAGACGGACACUGGGCAGAUGAUACUGCAGAUCUAGACCUGGUUUACUGAUAUGACAUCUCAAAGGGCCCGAAAUCAAACACCGAAAGCCACACUCAGGUCACAACCACCAGCUUGAGUCCUAACACAUUACCCUGUGAGAAGAUUCAUAAAAGAAAGAAGGGGUGGAGGAUUGUGGUGGGGAUAAGGACCUACUCUAGGGCAGCACUGAGAGGAAGCAUGAAAGAAGGCAGCAGAAUAAAGCCAAGCAUUCUAAAAACAAGGAAUGAUUUCCAGGAAAAAAA